rnacentral:misc_RNA from 1 species
UAAUGAUGAAAUUAAUGCUGAAGUGUCUAACCAAGAGAUUUCUAAGGAGUCUCUAACAAGCAAAACAUAUGAGAGAAUUUUAGUUGAGACAAAUGAAAAUAACGAAAGUCCCAAUGCAAAUCUUCCAACUGCAUCAAUGAAAGAAGAGGAAAGCUUGCAGGGUAAGGUUGAGAACAUAAAUCCAACAGAAGAAUUGCCAGAGGAGACAAACAAUGGAUCUUUGAUCAAAGCUAGCGAAGGUAAUGACAGCAAUACUGAAUUAGCAGAGGCUAUCAAGAAUUGCGAGAAGGAAAGAUCACAGAGUGAAGAAAAAAGGGAACCGGAGUUGCAGAAGAAUGAAACAGAAGAACUUCCUCACACAUCAUCAAAUAUAAUUACUGCAGAAACUGAGACAGAUACAUUGAGUGAACAGGCCAAUGACAUCAUAAUAGCAAAACAAGUUGAAGCCAUCCAAUAUACUGAAGAAACUGUAGAGAAAGAAAACAAUGAAGAAGGAAAUGAAGAUAUUGAGAACAAAGUGCAAAAAGUCCCAACCAGAGAGGAUCAAAAACCAGAGGAAGAAACAUGCAACAAAAAUGUAAGUGUGGAGACCAAAGUUGUGGAGACAAAGCCAAUAACAAGUGAAAUAGAUACAGAACGCAAACAAACAAGCAAUAAUACAGAAGAGGAAAGAAAAAUGGAAGAGAUUGAAGAGGUAUACAGGGAUACUAAGACUGCUUGCCUGAAAGAAGAGAGCAAAAAACACAUCAUAAUGGAAGCACACGCCACCAUAGGCAUCUCACCACAAUCAGCUGGAGAAGUAACAGCUCUAAUCAAUAAAGGGGAGAAAGAAGAGAAGAAACCCAAAAUGGAGAGGCAAGAAGAACUGGAGCCAACCAGUAUAGUUAAGGACACUGAAAAACUAGUUCCAGAGGAGGUAAAUGUUAUAAAGGACCAGUCGACAGAACCUGCUAUUGUAAAUGCAGAUGAUAUGAUAGCAGUGGUGCCAAAAAAAGAGAUCACAGCAUGAAAUUAUUCAACCUGCUGAGAAUGAGGAUACUGUGAAACAGAUCACAGAGGAAGGCAAUGCAACUAAGGGCAACUUAGAUGUUCCUGUAAAAGGAAUAGAUGAAGAAGAUACUAUACAGAAGGAAAAAGAAGAGAUAAAAAGCUUCAAUUCAGAAUCCACAAAACAGAUUGCAUCAAGAGUUUAUGAGGAGGCAAAUAAACUCUACAACCUGGAGGAAAAACAAGAACCAAAUAUUGG